rnacentral:rRNA from 1 species
GAGGGGCAGCGCAGUGUAGCAAUACAUGGGCGGCGACCGGCAAACGGGUGCGGAACACGUACACAACCUUCCUAUAAGUGGGGGAUAGCCCAGAGAAAUUUGGAUUAAUACCCCGUAAGAUAACGAUGUGGCAUCACAAUGUUAUUAAAGCUACGGCGCUUAUUGAUGGGUGUGCGGCUGAUUAGAUAGUUGGCGGGGUAAAGGCCCACCAAGUCUACGAUCAGUAGCUGAUGUGAGAGCAUGAUCAGCCACACGGGCACUGAGACACGGGCCCGACUCCUACGGGAGGCAGCAGUAAGGAAUAUUGGUCAAUGGACGCAAGUCUGAACCAGCCAUGCCGCGUGAAGGAUUAAGGUCCUCUGGAUUGUAAACUUCUUUUAUAUGGGACGAAAAAAGGACAUUCUUGUCCGUCUGACGGUACCAUAUGAAUAAGCACCGGCUAACUCCGUGCCAGCAGCCGCGGUAAUACGGAGGGUGCAAGCGUUAUCCGGAUUCACUGGGUUUAAAGGGUGCGUAGGCGGGCAGGUAAGUCAGUGGUGAAAUCCUGGAGCUUAACUCCAGAACUGCCAUUGAUACUAUCUGUCUUGAAUAUUGUGGAGGUAAGCGGAAUAUGUCAUGUAGCGGUGAAAUGCUUAAAUAUGACAUAGAACACCUAUUGCGAAGGCAGCUUACUACGCAUAU